GUGCUCGCUUCAGCACCACAUAUACUAAAAUUGGAACAAUACAGAGAAGAUUAGCAU
rnacentral:snRNA from 1 species